CCUACGGGAGGCAGCAGUGGGGGAUAUUGCACAAUGGGGGAAACCCUGAUGCAGCGACGCCGCGUGGGCGAAGAAGUAUUUCGGUAUGUAAAGCCCUAUCAGCAGGGAAGAAGAAAUGACGGUACCUGAGUAAGAAGCACCGGCUAAAUACGUGCCAGCAGCCGCGGUAAGACGUAUGGUGCAAGCGUUAUCCGGAUUUACUGGGGGUAAAGGGAGCGCAGGCGGCACGGCAAGCCUGAUGUGAAAGCCCGCGGCCCAACCGCGGGACUGCAUUUGGAACUACCGGGCUGGAGUGCGGGAGAGGUAUGCGGAAUGCCUGGUGUAGCGGUGAAAUGCGUAGAUAUCAGGAGGAACACCAGUGGCGAAGGCAGCAUACUGGACGGUGACUGACGCUGAGGCUCGAAAGCGUGGGGAGCAAACAGGAUUAGAUACCCGGGUAGUC
rnacentral:rRNA from 1 species